rnacentral:rRNA from 1 species
UACGAACCACCCAAACGUUAUUCGGAAUUACUGGGCUUAAAGCGUGCGUAGGCGGCCAUGUAAGUAGGGUGUGAAAUCCCACAGCUCAACUGUGGAACUGCGCUCUAAACUACAUGGCUAGAGGGAUAUAGAGGUGAGCGGAACUGAUGGUGGAGCGGUGAAAUGCGUUGAUAUCAUCAGGAACACCGGAGGCGAAGGCGGCUCACUGGGUAUCUUCUGACGCUGAGGUACGAAAGCUAGGGGAGCGAACGGG